GGGGAAGGAUGGAGAAAGAGUAGCUAUUGUUCCCUCAGCCUCCUAUCCAACACAUGAGACUGAAAAUGAAAAGACCCGGAGAUCUUACAAGCAUGUAUUUCCAUGUUGCGAAAGCAAGGACGAUGUUCAUUUUCAAGGGAAUCAUGAGAACUCUAUAGAUCAGUGAGUGGAGACUAGAGAUCUCUCACAGACAAUUCCCAGCGGAUGAUGAUGAUGAAAGUUAAAGAUUCCAUGGGUGUUCCCUUCAGAUGAUGGUCUGCAAGGCAGCUUACACAACCAGUAAUUGAAGCAACCUCAAGAACUGGACCUCCUUCUCAAGGACAGUUUCUUGCCUAGUCUCUUUUCCUAUCUCCAACGGCUCUUCCAUAAACUGCCAAAAAAUUAUAGGUGUAGGCAAUGAGGCUUAACCUUUACUGGACAACCCUCAGCGACCACCUCUUCUUCUCUAGAAUGGCUCCCUGUCAUGACCCAAGUUCCUUAAUGUGUGCAGUGGAGGACUCUGAUAAGAAUGAGGUUUAGGCAGCUUCACUGAGGGGAGAACCACCCUGUAUUUUGAACCCUCCUGCAGAAGACACAGCCCUGCCAUUGUCCUCUGACUCAGAGGAUGUGUCCGCACCACCACAGAACCUCUGUCUCCCCAGCCUUUCAACAGCUACAGAAUAAGGGGAAAGCCCUUUAACCAGCCAGCCAGCCAGCCAGCUCCUCCAGGGAGGUGGAACGCUUCAGGCCUGGUCAGUCUAUAUAAGGCAUUGGCUCUUGCUCCCUGCGGAGACAGUGUCUCUUGCAGUUGCCUUAGCGUGGCUCUCUGGAGCUGUCCAAGAUCCUGCCAUUAUGGCUUGUUUUCUCAGGGACCCUGAUGAUCCCAUGGAAUUGGGCAAUGGCAACUGGCCUUUAAAGGAGGAUCAGGGCUCUUCCAGACUUCCACCUGCACCACCACUUUCCCCCAGGACAACCCAUGGUUCAGCACUGAAUUAGAACAAAUGGCAAUUGGGGUUUCCACAGAUGGCCACUUGUUCCCAUUUAGCACUAAAGAGAGGGCUUUCCUGGGGAAAGAGGUGGAGCAAAGAGGAAACUGUUCAGGCCCAUGUCUAGAAAGCAGGACCUGGGUGCAACAAUACCCUCCCCUGCUUGUAUUCCCAUCAAUUGGUAUUCAGAGGCACAUUUCCUUUUAUAAAAGGCUGGACAAGUUAGAAAUAAUCUGGCCUUAAUAUAUUCCUCAAACAGCUAUAACCAAGACCCGCGUUUCUCCUUGUUCAAUAUCUACAUUUAUUUUAUUUUUUAAAUGUCAAUUGACUUA